rnacentral:rRNA from 1 species
UACAGAGGGGGCAAGCGUUGUUCGGAAUUACUGGGCGUAAAGGGCGCGUAGGCGGCCUGCUAAGUCGAACGUGAAAUCCCCGGGCUCAACCCGGGAACUGCGUCCGAUACUGGCAGGCUUGAAUUCGGGAGAGGGAUGUGGAAUUCCAGGUGUAGCGGUGAAAUGCGUAGAUAUCUGGAGGAACACCGGUGGCGAAGGCGGCAUCCUGGACCGAGAUUGACGCUGAUGCGCGAAAGCCAGGGGAGCAAACGGG